rnacentral:lncRNA from 10 species
AGACCAAAUUAAUCAGAGCUCUUUUGACUGACAUCACGCACAGUACACACACAGACAGACAGAAGAAAACUCAGUCACUGUGUGGGGCCCUUUAAGAGGCAGGGCUAAGACAGCAGGCAUAUAUCAAACCAGAAAGAAUCUUAUUCCCUAGGGCAGGAUUGCUAAACAAAGCCCUGCGGGGGGAGUUACAAGCCAUGCCCUCAGGAUGUAAUACAAGAUGGAGGCUUGAUUUCACAACCAAAACUUUCCAGAGAAUAUAGUGAUAGAUGUUGGAGGUCCCUAGUCUAGCACAACAUCUUCUAAAAGAAAAUGAAACUUUUAAAAGUUAACUACCGACAGGGUAGAGAGAAAAGAAAAGAAACAGUUUAAAAAUACCUGAGGAAGAGCCUCUCAUUCCUAUGCAACUGAUUCGUCCACCAUGGAGAUUAGUUCAAUUAUUGUCCAAUGGAGUAGAACCCCUUGGCUGGGGUAGGGGAAGGAGAAGACCGCAAGCUGGCUCUGCGAAGACCCUUGAGCCACGCGUCCCAGCCCCAGCAUGAAGCAGGACCCAGACCUCUGGUUUAAUUCAGCACAUGAAACAAUUUCUUCUCCUACCUUUUGAAAAGCAGCUGCUAAUAAGUCCCUGAGUUGGCGGGCAACAUCAGCAAGGUGAACAACUAGAGUUGCCUAGCACUUCCCACACACCCCAAAACAAGAAACAACUAUAUUUUGAUAAAAAUGACUGAGGAGAUACAUUGAAGAGCACCAGAGGAGUGGCAAAAUAUACAUGGUAAGCAGACGCUCAGGAUAGUACCAUAGCUCUGCCACCGUCUCACUUUCCAUGAUUAGUUUGGAGCCAUGGGGGACUUCUUAUGGGACAAAGUAUGCUGGAGAACCCUAGCAAUCACAAUAACUAAUGCAGAAACUUAAAGCCUUUACUACAAAAGAGUCUUGAAGUCCUCAUAG